rnacentral:lncRNA from 1 species
GUUGGGUUCUACCAAUCUCACAUUAAGAAUAAAACGGACCCAAUGAAUGAAUCCUUAUAGCAGAAACUUGCCCAUCUGUUGGCAUUGCUUAGAAAACUUAAGAUGUAAAUUAAGGCAUAAUUUUCUAUCUUUAAAAGAGCAUCCAAACUCCUUUUGCUUUCAUGAUUGGAAGAUAUAUGUAUAAUUUGACAGUGAUUCCCAUAUAGUGAGGGUAAGAUAGUCUCUUAAGUCUUACGUUAUCACCUCUUUUUUUUUUUUUUUUUUUUUUUUUUUUUUUUUUUUUUUUUUUGUACUCAAAACAAAACAGAAUUAGUACAUAUUAUAUUUAAUAAAUGCAUUGGCAAUGUACACUCUGAAUUAUGUAAUCAAUAUAUAAGCCAUUACCUUGAAUGAGUCUUUGUGAAAUGCAUCAUGGCA